rnacentral:rRNA from 1 species
AUUGAACGCUGGCGGCAGGCUUAACACAUGCAAGUCGAGCGGAGAUGAGGUGCUUGCACCUUAUCUUAGCGGCGGACGGGUGAGUAAUGCUUAGGAAUCUGCCUAUUAGUGGGGGACAACAUUCCGAAAGGAAUGCUAAUACCGCAUACGUCCUACGGGAGAAAGCAGGGGAUCUUCGGACCUUGCGCUACUAGAUGAGCCUAAGUCGGAUUAGCUAGUUGGUGGGGUAAAGGCCUACCAAGGCGACGAUCUGUAGCGGGUCUGAGAGGCUGGUCGGCCACACUGGGACUGAGACACGGCCCAGAAUCCGACGGGAGGCAGCAGUGGGGAAUAUUGGACAAUGGGGGGAACCCUGAUCCAGCCAUGCCGCGUGUGUGAAGAAGGCCUUAUGGUUGUAAAGCACUUUAAGCGAGGAGGAGGCUACUGAGACUAAUACUCUUGGAUAGUGGACGUUACUCGCAGAAUAAGCACCGGCUAACUCUGUGCCAGCAGCCGCCGUAAAAC